CUACCGCUGGAAGUUAUGUGAAUGAGCAUAUGCUGGACUGAGGCCCUAACAACGUUUUGAAAUCCAUAAAACGUUAUCUAAGACUCAUCAAAAAAACUUUAGCAUUUGUUUAAAAGAUACGGUGACAGAUUCAAGGCAAGAAAUGGGACUAGGACAGGAAGCGGAUGACAUAAGCCAGUCAAUCUUGGUCUGGGUUAUUAAGUAGACCUCAGAUAGAAAACCUGAGAUGACGGUAUAGACUCGUUUCACUUCUGCUAAUUCUAAUAACGGAAGAUACGAUCCCAGAAGCAUUUCUAUGCCAUGGAAUAAAAAAACAACAAUACCCCACUGGAGGCGAGGACACUGCACGCACACAGAACAGACCAAACAGGCUCGCUGAACGCACACGGCUUGAACAAACCGAAGCGGUAACAGGGCUAUGUUGCGAUCUCGACAUCACACCUUGCAGGAGAGCCCCGCGGAGGCAAUUACGCUACCGCCGCCUGCUCUUCAAGGGGCUGUGGAUGUCAAGUACCCCUGAAAUCUGCUUACCUCAGUAGGGAUCUGGAGGGCAUGACCAGUGCUUCGCACAGCAGUGCAGCCUGGGUGCACUACUGACUGCUAUCAAGCACUGCAGUCCUCGCCGUUGUCUCCAUCCCUGCCUUGAAGAAACUUGAAGAGCUUGUUUGCCUCAGAGCGGAACUGCUGACCUGUCUCCUGCAAUGCCUCUUUAUUCUGCUCCACUCUAUUGUGCUGCUUCGGAUUCUUGCUUGGCUGAUUUGCUAGUAAACUCGGGUCACCUAUAUAUGUCCUGCGCUCGCAUGCCAAGAGGUUAGCAGAGAUGUGUCUAUCUGGCUAUGCGUUUGGCAAAAACAAACCCAUCCUUUUGUCACCAAAUGAGACGUCAUUACAGGCAGCUUCUGGCCUCUCCCUCAGCAAAAUUAGGCUAUAAAAAUUGUAGGUCUCCGUCCUGUCCUGUUUGUUAGAGUUAAUGAGAAGAAAAAACCAGUCAAAGGCAGGGGUGCAGGGGCCUCAACCCUUCUUAAUUUGGCAGGACAAUUUGCAUCAACGGUAGCGAGGUGACUCAGCGCGCAAGCGGUAAGUUGGUAGGUGGUUAGCGAGUGCUCCCCUGCUUUGGCAGGGUUGCAGGAUGCCGUUAUGUCGUUUCUCGGGAUGCAUUAACACCUUGCCUAAUCUGCGCGCUUCCGUGGGGGGUUAUCCUUGCACCUCCUGCAAGUGUGAAAUAGAUGGAGAUCCCUGACACGCAGAGUGUUUGCGGGUGGAGAUUCGGGAUCUGUGCCAGCAGCGUGUGUCGACUUUGAGCCCUCAUUUCCCCGUAGAGUGUGGCUCUGACAACGCGGACAGGCACUUCCCGUUAGAUGCUUACAGACACUGAAAAUAGACACUCCAUUACUGUUGCACAUUAGCCGACAGUAAUGAUAGGGGUCUGCUUACUAGUACAGAUAUAUACUGGCAAUCUGGCCACUUUUCAUGCUUUAUUUAUCAGGUAUUAAUUGCAACUUCCACUUACCACCACCAGACUCAAUUGCUGCAUUGUCGGUUACGGCGAUCAGACAUUUACUUAUUUUUGCUUUUGUUAUUAGCAUCAGAAAACUCAAUUACGCGUGAGCACACAUGCAUACACAAACACACAGUAGUAGGUUUGUGCUGAUGUUUUUAAAGAUACACAUCUGCUGAUACUAAAAAUAGGUCCUUGUCAGCAGCUUGGUAAUUUUAGGCUCAAUGAGAAUUCAUCCCCAUGGUAACUGUACAGUUGUUGAAUCAUUUAUUAUUUGAGCUUCAAAAUCACAACAGUGCUGGCAAUUUUCAUCCUUUGAGCAUUUUUAAGGACCUUCUGCUAUAUUGCAGUACUCCUUGCUCCACGUCACCAAUAUUUAUCAAGCUACCAGCACAAGCCCUUGAACUGACUACCUGCUUCUCCUCGUCUGUAUCUGGACUGGGAUCCUAGACAGCAAUGGCAGUUUAAAUUGGUUUCACUUUGGCGUUGUCCUGCUGGCAUGGCUGCUUGGCUGAGGACGGUAUGCACAAAGCCCUGCAAACUCCUCACUGGGAAAGCUGUGCAAGCAGAACUUUAGUGCAGCCCUAAGCUUGGGUGUCUGUCAGAAAACAAGCUAUCAUCUCAGGUCUCUGUGUUGCAAGGAGACCUGAGAUAAGGUGCUAGUAGUUUUUAAUGGUGUAGAUAGGUGGUGGUUGACUCCAAGCUGGUGGGGGGUACGCUGCCUGGCUUCUGGAAGAUAAAAGCUGUUUGUACUUUCUCUCACUUGCUGAUAAUGCACAUUAGCACAUUUGUCUUGUGCUAAAACAAAGGAAAAUUGGCCUACUUGGCUGACAAAGCAUAAGGUGAAACUCAGGCCCUCUGAGCCUGGACUUUCUUG